rnacentral:rRNA from 1 species
GAUGAACGCUGGCGGCGUGCCUAAUACAUGCAAGUCGAGCGAACGGACGAGAAGCUUGCUCCUCUGACGUUAGCGGCGGACGGGUGAGUAACACGUGGAUAACCUACCUAUAAGACUGGGAUAACUUCGGGAAACCGGAGCUAAUACCGGAUAAUAUUUUGAACCGCAUGGUUCAAUAGUGAAAGACGGUCUUGCUGUCACUUAUAGAUGGAUCCGCGCUGCAUUAGCUAGUUGGUAAGGUAACGGCUUACCAAGGCAACGAUGCAUAGCCGACCUGAGAGGGGGAUCGGCCACACUGGAACUGAGACACGGUCCAGACUCCUACGGGAGGCAGCAGUAGGGAAUCUUCCGCAAUGGGCGAAAGCCUGACGGAGCAACGCCGCGUGAGUGAUGAAGGUCUUCGGAUCGUAAAACUCUGUUAUUAGGGAAGAACAAAUGUGUAAGUAACUAUGCACAUCUUGACGGUACCUAAUCAGAAAGCCACGGCUAACUACGUG